GGCUUCGAUGGGAAUGGAGUUCUCCCGAAAGCGCCUGUGAGAGCUGAUGACUCCUAUCGCGGA
rnacentral:ncRNA from 1 species